rfam:Ophiophagus hannah scaffold1310.1, whole genome shotgun sequence.
GAAUAGGAUUUUUUAAAAUCCAACCAUAAUGACUUAUUAAAUGAGG